CAGAGCGUCCAGGACGAGUACGUUGUGUUGGUCGUGGACCCACACCUUCAAAAUUAGGAAAACGCUCAAAUGUGGCUAGAGCAGAUGUAGAAAAUUCUGAAAUGGUUGUUCAGCUGAAGGGAAAAGUGGAAGAGUUAGGAACUCAGGUAAAGGCAAUGAGUACGUUCAUCCAACAAAUACUUGAUACUUCAACCGGUGAACAGGCAACUGUAUGGGCCACAGCUUUUGCUAACAUACCUAAUCCAGCAUUGCUAAACAUAUCAAAUGUACCUAAUCCCCAGGAAGAUGAUGAUGGUCUUGAUAGACGAUAGUGAUCAUAGUCAACACAGAAGUUUAUCCAAAUUUCUUAGCAACUUUGGUUUAUUUUGUUUUUAUGCAUUUGGAAAACUUAUUAGGAUGAUUUCUGUAAUUUGCU